CCGCCCGUCACGUCAUGGAAGCCGGCAACACCUGAAGCCGCUGAGCCAACGCGCAAGCGGGCAGGCGUCUAGGGUGAGGCUGGUAACUGGGACG
rnacentral:rRNA from 1 species